GACGAACGCUGGCGGCGUGCUUAACACAUGCAAGUCGAACGGAAAGGCUCCAGCUUGCUGGAGUACUCGAGUGGCGAACGGGUGAGUAACACGUGGGUAAUCUGCCCUGCACUCUGGGAUAAUCCUGGGAAACUGGGUCUAAUCCUGGCUAUGACCUUUCUCCUUAUGGGGUUUGGUGGAAAGUUUUUCGGUGUAGGAUGAGCCCGCGGCCUAUCGGCUUGUUGGUGGGGUGAUGGCCUACCAAGGCGACGACGGGUAGCCGGCCUGAGAGGGUGAUCGGCCACAUUGGGACUGAGAUACGGCCCAGACUCCUACGGGAGGCAGCAGUGGGGAAUAUUGCACAAUGGGCGGAAGCCUGAUGCAGCGACGCCGCGUGAGGGAUGACGGCCUUCGGGUUGUAAACCUCUUUCAGCAGGGACGAAGCGUAAGUGACGGUACCUGCAGAAGAAGCACCGGCUAACUAUGUG
rnacentral:rRNA from 1 species